rnacentral:rRNA from 1 species
GACGAACGCUGGCGGCGUGCUUAACACAUGCAAGUCGAACGGAAAGGCCCUGCUUGCAGGGUACUCGAGUGGCGAACGGGUGAGUAACACGUGGGUGAUCUGCCCUGCACUUCGGGAUAAGCCUGGGAAGCUGGGUCUAAUACCGGAUAGGAGCCAUUUUUAGUGUGAUGGUUGGAAAGUUUUUUCGGUGUAGGAUGAGCUCGCGGCCUAUCAGCUUGUUGGUGGGGUAAUGGCCUACCAAGGCGGCGACGGGUAGCCGGCCUGAGAGGGUGGACGGCCACAUUGGGACUGAGAUACGGCCCAGACUCCUACGGGAGGCCGCAGUGGGGACUCUUGCCCCCUGGGCGCAAGCCUGAUGCAGCGACGCCGCGUGGGGGAUGACGGCCUUCGGGUUGUAAACUCCUUUCGCUAGGGACGAAGCUUUUUGUGACGGUACCUAGCUAAGCAGCACCGGCUCCCUCCGUG